rnacentral:piRNA from 1 species
UACACAGAGAAACUUCAGGAAGAAGAAC